GCCACAAAUUCAUUAUUUAGUGCGAAAUAUUACCGCCUAAUAGAUAUUGGCCAGGAAAAGGUAUUCUUGUACCGGCUAUAAAAUGGAAUGACCACUAAAACCACUAGUUUUUGACAUUUGUUGAUUAUUUUACCUUUCCCUCCAAAUAUUUUGCAGACGAUUUACUUAUUCCCUCCUAAAAAUAUUUUCGCUAAAUCACCAAUUAAUUUCAAAAAAAUUCAAAAGUUUUCUAGAAAGGCAAAAUAGCGCUGCAGCUCAACCCUAACUCAUUCGUCUCACCAUCGCCCCUUCAACAUACAGAAGAGACUAUUAAACAUUCUAAAGAGCUGUGGAAUUUGGGUGUUAGGGUUUGUGAAAAUCAGAGAUGAUGUUCGUCUGCGGGCUGAUCUGUGCAAUGAUAACGGUGGUUUUCUUCAUCCAAUAAUGGUAACAUUGGCGCUUCGGUGCUCUUCCAGAGAUUACCAGCUGCUGCUCCCAACAUCGAUCCUACUGUAUAUGCUUUCAAGAAUUUUCGUAAGUUUUCUUUCCUCGGAUGUUUUAUAUUCAUUGCCUACAAGAUUUGAGUUUUCUCUUUAUGUAAUCCAAUUACAAUGACCUAUUUUUAGAGAGAGAAAUUCAUCAACUUUACGAGUGUACCGUCGAUCCUAAAUCAUUGUCAGGUGGCGAGUUCUUUUGAAUUUAUUAUUCUUUGCAGAAGAACAUUAAAACUUUGAAUCCAUGACGGAAGUUUCAUGGAGGAGUUCAAGACGC